GACCCUAGUUAGCAGACGGUUGGCGGGAUCGCGAGGCGCAGGGACUACGGGCGCCGGGGCGGGCUUUGUACACCUAGUUAAGGUAGGCGUAGCCCUGGAGGGGUGGGCAGUUUGUUUUUUUUUCAAGGAGGGGCUAGGAAGAAAGCGACCCGCGUUGUUAGUACCGCUGUCUAGGCGCCGACGAGGUGGAGUCCAAGGGGGGUAGGAAGAAAGAGAGCCCGCUGUCUAGGCAAGUACCGCCGCCUAGGCGUCGCAGGUGCCGGCGAGGUGGAGCCCGUCACGCCUAGUGCCGGCCGCUGGGCUACCUCCGCAUCGCCGAUGGCCGCGUCAGACUGUGAGACGGUACGCGAGGGAGGUACAGAGGAGGACGCGGAGGCCACCGGUCUGCGGAGAAGGUGAGGCCGGCUCUACAAACUUCUUCCCCGAUCUCUGUUUGACAGGUUAAACAACACUGAAGGAUAAGUGUAGUUCGUUCCUUCAAUCUCGACAAGAAAGACCAGUGAGGUACGUAAGUUGAACGAACGUCCGUAUGUGAACGUCAGUGAUGUGAACAUGAUAGAUGCCGUUUAGGAAGCCCCUAUACCGCCAUUCGACGUAAUCAAAAAUGCCGUAACGUUUAGAAACGUAAAUACCAUGACUUCAAUUAGAAGUAGAACUCAGGGUACUAAACAAAAGGUAUAGAAUCACUUUUGAUAAUAAAGAGGAUAAAAAGAGAAGUAGAUCUCCCGUAAAGUGAUCGACUAUUCACUACAAAGUAUUUCGUACUUUGACUGUGUAAAAACCAUGAAACUAUGGCCUUCGGACAUGGAGGUGGUUAGUUUACAAAAUAAAGACGUCAACAUAACAUACUAUUAAGAGGUGCCUGUUAUGUUAAGACUAAGGACUGCGGACUCACUCUAAAAUGAACACCAGAACAAUAAAUUUGAGUAAGGAUUCUACGUUGUACUUCUGACAAAACCAUAAACCCCUUAUGUGCUAACCUGUAAAACGAGCUCAGUAUAUUAGUAUAACUCACUGACUUACAUUACGUGUAUUUGAAGUCACCAUAUAACUUUUACCAAAGCUUUGUCUAUUUACAACCUAGUCGACUGGGACAGUAAUAGAGUAAGGUGGGGUUGUGGUGCCAGUUUGCCAGACGUCGGUGUGGACCAGUGGUAGCUCAAAGUCCAUUGGUGCUGUUCAGUUGCUAGAAGGUAACGGAAGGCGAGUUAAAACAAACCUACCACGCACUAAGGAAAGUAGCUCAGAAGUUAUUUGGUUUCUCAAUGGUCUCAUCAAUUAAUCCUCGGAUUAGUACACAUUUGAUAACACGUAGUUCAGAAGUUAUUUUUGUCUCGUCAAAGAUGUACGUUCUGCAUAGUUUAUCAUACGAUUAUGAACUUAUGGUACACUGAUCUAGCUAAAGGUUCGUCUGAGCUAGCUUAGAUUAGCAUAUACGACACAAACAACGCAGCUCAUCACUGCCUCUCGUUCGCUCCGCUCUCUCGCUCAGUGUAGCGCGAAAAUGGACAAUAAUAUAUUGCGUGUAACUAAUCAAGCCAACAUAGACCCGUACGAAAAUCUGAAUUUCAGCUAGAACUAAAGGAGAACGGUGGACAUACUCCCGUAGGUAAGCUUUGUGUAUAGAUUAGAAGAUGCACACCCUAGGAAAAAGACAAGAAUUAAACAACAACCCCGCUCGAACAAUGAGAGAUGUACCUAAAGUUCGACCUACUCUCGAUGUGCGGCUCGUUCUAGAGGUAGACCUGACCGCUGCCGAAGGUGUUAGAGUUCCGGGUCUUUAAUCCUAAGUUCUAAACGGAGUAACUUUUGGCCAGUCCUCAAGUACAAGUGUUAGUUCGUCACUGGGGAAGAUGAUGAACUCCCUAAGUCGUUUCUGGUAGUUGCCAUGUCAGUUUCAACUUGUACUUUUGUUCCGCGAGACGGUCACACGCACGUACUAGGUUAUCGUACACAAAUUAUCAUCGGUGAUACUACACUUUAUGAUCGUCGAAGGAGGUAAAUACGGUCAUAAACUAUAUGAAUGGUUUCAAAUUCCCGCGGUUAGAAUUCUUCUGUAGGGCCAAACACGCUUUUAAAGAAUGCGUAUAAUCUGUUUUCUACAUAGAUUAAAAGGAAUCCAACGUAACGUUGUGUAGUCAAAGACGAGAACCAAGAAAAUGGUAUUUUAAACAUUCCUGGGAAUACAAACUAAAUAACAUAUUUAGUAAACUCUGUACGGGACGUACGUACUAAUGAG
rnacentral:rRNA from 1 species